rnacentral:rRNA from 1 species
AUUGAACGCUGGCGGCAUGCCUAACACAUGCAAGUCGAACGGCAGCACGGUCUAGCUUGCUAGACUGGUGGCGAGUGGCGCACGGGUGAGUAAUGCGUAGGAAUAUGCCUUGAAGUGGGGGAUAACUUGGGGAAACUCAAGCUAAUACCGCAUAAUCUCUAAGGAGGAAAGCUGGGGACCUUCGGGCCUGGCGCUUUAAGAUUAGCCUACGUCCGAUUAGCUAGUUGGUAGGGUAAAGGCCUACCAAGGCGACGAUCGGUAGCUGGUCUGAGAGGAUGAUCAGCCACACUGGGACUGAGACACGGCCCAGACUCCUACGGGAGGCAGCAGUGGGGAAUAUUGGACAAUGGGGGCAACCCUGAUCCAGCGAUGCCGUGUGUGUGAAGAAGGCCUACGGGUUGUAAAGCACUUUCGGUGGGGAGGAGGAUUCAUAGGUUAAGAGCUAAUGGAUUGGACGUUACCCACAAAAGAAGCACCGGCUAACUCCGUGCCAGCAGCCGCCGUAAGAC